rnacentral:rRNA from 1 species
GAUGAACGCUGGCGGCGUGCCUAAUACAUGCAAGUCGAGCGAACAGACGAGGAGCUUGCUCCUCUGACGUUAGCGGCGGACGGGUGAGUAACACGUGGAUAACCUACCUAUAAGACUGGGAUAACUUCGGGAAACCGGAGCUAAUACCGGAUAACAUGUUGAACCGCAUGGUUCAACAGUGAAAGACGGUCUUGCUGUCACUUAUAGAUGGAUCCGCGCCGCAUUAGCUAGUUGGUAAGGUAACGGCUUACCAAGGCAACGAUGCGUAGCCGACCUGAGAGGGUGAUCGGCCACACUGGAUCUGAGACACGGUCCAGACUCCUACGGGAGGCAGCAGUAGGGAAUCUUCCGCAAUGGGCGAAAGCCUGACGGAGCAACGCCGCGUGAGUGAAGAAGGUCUUCGGAUCGUAAAACUCUGUUAUUAGGGAAGAACAAAUGUGUAAGUAACUAUGCACGUCUUGACGGUACCUAAUCAGAAAGCCACGGCUAACUACGUG